UCCCCUUGGCGUGCCAUCCCGUGUCACCUCAUGUCUCCUUGGCGUGCCAUCCCGUGUCAUCGCAUGUCACCUCGUGUCCCCAUGGCGUGCCAUCCCAUGUCACCACGUGUCACCUCGUGUCCCUGUGGAGUGACAUCCCGUGUGAUUGCAUGUCACCUCGUGUCACCUUGGCAUGCCAUCCUGUGUCGCAUCAUGUCACCUUGUGUCCCCUUGGCGUGCCAUCCCAUGUCACCAUGUGUCCUGGUGUGUCACCUCGUGUCCCCGUGGCAUGCCAUCCCAUGUCACCACGUGUCACGUUGUGUCGCUGUGGUAUGCCACCCCCUGUCACCAUGUGUCACCUUGUGUCCCCAUGGCGUGCCAUCCCACAUCAUCUCACGUCCCCAUGGUGUGCCAUCUCAUGUCCUGGUGUGUCACCUCGUGUCCCUGUAGCAUGCCACCCUGUGUCACCUCGUGUCACCCCAUGUCACCCCGUGUCACCCCGUGUCACCUUGUGUCCCCAUGGCGUGCCAUCCCAUGUCAUCUCACAUCCCCAUGGUGUGCCAUCUCAUGUCACCCCGUGUCACCUCGUGUCCCUGUAGCAUGCCACCCUGUGUCACCUCGUGUCACCUCGUGUCACCCCGUGUCACCCCGUGUCACCUUGUGUCCCCCCGUGUCCCCGCAGGCGGUGGCGGACGCGUGGCUGGAGGUCUACACGCGUGACCGCACGGCGGGCUUCCUGCAGCUGCUCAACUUCAUCGUCCGCUCCUGCGGCUGCCGAGGGAUGGUGACGGCGGCGAUGCUGGAGGAGAUGGACAACGCCGACAUCAUCCGCUGGCUGACGGAGCAGUUCCAGGAGGUGGGGACAUGGGGACAUCGUGGGGACAUCACGGGGACAUGGGGACAUGACAGGGACACGGGGACAUCAUGGGGACAUGGGGACGUUGUGGGGACAUGGGGACAUGACAGGGACACGGGGACGUGGGGACACAGGGACAUGGGGACGUUGUGGGGACAUGACAGGGACACGGGGACGUCACGGGGACGUGGGGACAACAUGGAGACAUGGGGAUGUUGUGGGGAUACGGGGACGCAGGGACACGGGGACAUGGGGAUGUCAUGGGGACGCGGGGACAUCAUGGGGACAUGGGAACAACGUGAGAAUGUGGGGACAUCGUGAGGACAUGGGGACGUUGUGGGGACAUGGGGACGCGGGGUGUCCAACGUCACCGCGUCCCCCAUCCCCAUGGC
rnacentral:lncRNA from 1 species